rnacentral:lncRNA from 1 species
AAACUGUGAGAGACACCAUGUCAAGGAAGCAGUGUGAGCUAGCGUCUAAGGAUUGUGAAAACUGAGCAAGUGCCCAGAACUAGAAACUUCCCAGCCCCCUGAACUCAGCCUCAGGGUAAGCGAGUUUAAUAGUGCUUCCUUUGAUUUUCAAAUCUGUGGAAGGUUUGUUUCAGUUUUUCCCAGACAAAUAUUGUUGGGAUAGUGUUUCUUUUCAAAAAUGGAUAGGAUUCAAUGCUCAUCAGUGGGAAGAUAGUGACUCCUGACCAUUUUCCUCCUAGCUGGAAACUACAGAAGACUCCCAAGUAUCAGGAAAUUUGGAGAAUUUGUACAGGAAUUAUAUUCAGAGAUAGCAAUUUAUUUACUCAUCAAAGAGAGCUAUUGGAUAGCCACCAUAAAGACCACUCAUUAAAAAACAAAAUUGCAUGAUAUUCUUAACAUUGUCUUUCACUUUUUUUAACCAGGCUUGGUGGAGUUUCAAGAUGCUGAUGAACUUAAGGUCUGGCGCUUGAAAGAAUCAGUGAAGCUUUUCAAGUAGAGGAGGUAUAUUUGAAUAUGUAACCUUUAGUAUCUACAGAAUAGAGGUUGCUUUUUUUUUUUUU